UUUAUUGGAGAGUUUGAUCCUGGCUCAGGAUGAACGCUGGCGGCGUGCCUAAUACAUGCAAGUCGAGCGAAUGGAUUGAGAGCUUGCUCUCAAGAAGUUAGCGGCGGACGGGUGAGUAACACGUGGGUAACCUGCCCAUAAGACUGGGAUAACUCCGGGAAACCGGGGCUAAUACCGGAUAAUAUUUUGAACUGCAUGGUUCGAAAUUGAAAGGCGGCUUCGGCUGUCACUUAUGGAUGGACCCGCGUCGCAUUAGCCAGUUGG
rnacentral:rRNA from 1 species